rnacentral:misc_RNA from 1 species
GAUGAAGAACGCAGCGAAAUGCGAUAAGUAGUGUGAAUUGCAGAAUUCAGUGAAUCAUCGAAUCUUUGAACGCACAUUGCGCCCCUUGGUAUUCCAUGGGGCAUGCCUGUUCGAGCGUCAUUUGUACCUUCAAGCUCUGCUUGGUGUUGGGUGUUUGUCUCGCCUUGCGCGUAGACUCGCCUUAAAACAAUUGGCAGCCGGCGUAUUGAUUUCGGAGCGCAGUACAUCUCGUGCUUUGCACUCAUAACGACGACGUCCAAAAGUACUUUUUACACUCUUGACCUCGGAUCAGGUAGGGAUACCCGCUGAACUUAAGCAUAUCAAUAAGCGGAGGA